ACAUACGACCACAGGCAACAGAAAAUACUGCGUCCCGUUUGCUCCGCAUUCGUCAAGCUGUUGACCGGCAGAUUAGUAGUUGGGUCGGUGCGACCAGCGAACCCGGCUGUUGUAUGUU
rnacentral:rRNA from 1 species